GAGAGAUGGCUCAGGGGUUAAGAGCACUGACUGUUAUUCUGAGGAUCCAGGUUCAAUUCCUGGCACUCA
rnacentral:tRNA from 1 species